rnacentral:rRNA from 1 species
GACGAACGCUGGCGGCGUGCCUAAUACAUGCAAGUCGAGCGAAGUUUUUCUGGUGCUUGCACUAGAAAAACUUAGCGGCGAACGGGUGAGUAACACGUAAAGAACCUGCCUCAUAGACUGGGACAACUAUUGGAAACGAUAGCUAAUACCGGAUAACAGUAUUUCUCGCAUGAGAGAUAUUUAAAAGUUGGUUAUGCUAACACUAUGAGAUGGCUUUGCGGUGCAUUAGCUAGUUGGUGGGGUAAAGGCCCACCAAGGCGACGAGGCAUAGCCGACCUGAGAGGGUGAUCGGCCAGACUGGGACUGAGACACGGCCCAGACUCCGACGGGAGGAAGCAGUAGGGAAUCUUCCGCAAUGGGCGAAAGCCUGACGGAGCAACGCCGCGUGAGUGAAGAAGGAUUUCGGUUCGUAAAGCUCUGUUGUUAGGGAAGAAUGGAUAUGUAGUAACUAUACAUGUAAGAGACGGUACCUAACCAGAAAGCCACGGCUAACUACGUG